rnacentral:rRNA from 1 species
UACGUAGGGGGCAAGCGUUGUCCGGAUUUAUUGGGCGUAAAGAGCUCGUAGGUGGUUCGGUAAGUCGGAUGUGAAAUCUCCAGGCUCAACCUGGAGGGGUCAUUCGAUACUGCCGUGACUAGAGGUCGGUAGGGGAGUGUGGAAUUCCUGGUGGAGCGGUGAAAUGCGCAGAUAUCAGGAGGAACACCGGUGGCGAAGGCGGAUCUCUGGGCCUUGCCUGACGCUGAGGCGCGAAAGCUAGGGGAGCGAACAGG